rnacentral:rRNA from 1 species
AGUGAACGCUGGCGGUAGGCCUAACACAUGCAAGUCGAACGGCAGCACAGUAAGAGCUUGCUCUUACGGGUGGCGAGUGGCGGACGGGUGAGGAAUACAUCGGAAUCUACUUUUUCGUGGGGGAUAACGUAGGGAAACUUACGCUAAUACCGCAUACGACCUACGGGUGAAAGCAGGGGAUCUUCGGACCUUGCGCGAUUGAAUGAGCCGAUGUCGGAUUAGCUAGUUGGCGGGGUAAAGGCCCACCAAGGCGACGAUCCGUAGCUGGUCUGAUAGGAUGAUCAGCCACACUGGAACUGAGACACGGUCCAGACUCCUACGGGAGGCAGCAGUGGGGAAUAUUGGACAAUGGGCGCAAGCCUGAUCCAGCCAUACCGCGUGGGUGAAGAAGGCCUUCGGGUUGCAAAGCCCUUUUGUUGGGAAAGAAAAGCAGCAGGUUAAUACCCCGCUGUUCUGACGGUACCCAAAGAAUAAGCACCGGCUAACUUCGUG